rnacentral:rRNA from 1 species
AUUGAACGCUGGCGGCAUGCCUAACACAUGCAAGUCGAGCGGAAACAGGCAGCUUGCUCCUGGCUUGAGGGGCAGGGGGGAGUAUAGUACCUAAGAAUCUCCCUUCUAGGGGGGUAUCAAGUCCGAAGACUAGCGCAUAUACCACAUACGCCAUGAAGGAGAACGGGGGACAGCAUGGGACCUCACGAUAGCAGCUGACCCUAUGUCGGAUUAGCUAGUUGGUGGGGUAAAGGCCUACCAAGGCGACGAUCCGUAGCUGGUCUGAGAGGAUGAUCAGUCACACUGGAACUGAGACACGGUCCAGACUCCUACGGGAGGCAGCAGUGGGGAAUAUUGGACAAUGGGCGAAAGCCUGAUCCAGCAAUGCCGCGUGUAGGAAGAAGGUCUUCGGAUUGUAAAGUGCUUUAGUUUGGGAGGAAACGGAGUUGGUUAAUACCUGGCUGUAAUGACGGUACCGAAAGAAUAAGCACCGGCUAACUUCGUG